UACGUAGGGCGCGAGCGUUGUCCGGAAUCAUUGGGCGUAAAGAGCUCGUAGGCGGCCUGUCGCGUCUGCUGUGAAAUCCCGGGGCUUAACCCCGGGCGUGCAGUGGAUACGGGCUGGCUGGAGGCAGGCAGGGGAGAACGGAAUUCCCGGUGUAGCGGUGAAAUGCGCAGAUAUCGGGAGGAACACCGGUGGCGAAGGCGGUUCUCUGGGCCGUUACUGACGCUGAGGAGCGAAAGCGUGGGGAGCGAACAGG
rnacentral:rRNA from 1 species